AUGUCUACAUGUUUAGAGAGAUUGGCAUCAAAUAUCAACUUAGUGAAUGAUACAAUAUGCAUUCAGUUUUGCUUCUGGAAAACAUUUCUCAUAUCAGAAAAGGAGGAUGUAGGAGUAUGGGAAAUAGUGCAUUCUACCAAAAAUGUCCUUGGUGAUUUUGAGAGGCAUUUAGGAGUAAAUGUGUGCAAGAAAAAAAUAUACAGAAUAAAAGCAUAUCAAUGUAAAUGGAAAGUAAAUAGAUACCUCUCAAGGAAAGACACAAACUAUUUCCUGCUUCUCUGCAAAUCAAAACAAAGCUUGUAGGUGCUACAUUUAUUUUCUUCACAAAAGAACCAUGAAAGAAGGGAAAAUGCAUGUCAUCUAUUGAGGUCUUUUCCACCUCCUCAAACAGCUGAGAAUCACCAACUUAUAUUUUUGUAUUACAUCAGUGACUUUAUAAAUGACAAUCUGCUUCAGUAUAUUUUUCAUUGUCAGCUCUUCAGAACUACCCAUAGUCCUCCGAAGGGAAUGUGACUUGCCUGCAUUCCUUAGAGGCGUUCCUAUUUUUUCCUGUGAUGCUCCCUCCUCACCAGUGCUGGUCGUCGAUGAUUGUAUAGGGGUGGAUACCUGACCAGUGGAAGUCAUAUAACUCACCCUUUUUUGUUCUGUGAACCUGCUUAGGAGUAACUAUAGAGCAAACUCGCCUACCAAGAAGCAAAGAGUGGGAUGUAGACACACAAAUGGAGUGAAGAGACCCUGAGGCUCUAGAAUGGGCUGGGCAGGGAGCGGAGCUGCUUCAGUCCUGAUAUAUUCCCUGUUUCCUCGAACAGACCACGUAAGACCAGGACCUACGUUGUAUUCUGUCCUUGGAUUCCACAGAUACUCCUGCCCAUAAGGAUACUCUUGACUGUAUGGAAUUUGGGUAGAAUUGCAGUCUUACUAUUACUAGAACUACUAUGAAACCCUCAAAUAUUUCAUCAGUGAGUUCUGUAUUCGGUGAACAAAAACUAAUUGUAAUGUAAAUGCGAGAUUCAUUAUUUACUCAUUUAUUCACCACUUUCUGAUGUGAAUGCCUCAUGUUCUAGGCGCUUUCCUAGGGACUGUGGUUAUAGCAAUAAAGAAAAUGGACAAAUAUAUUUGUCCUCAUGAAACUUGCACUCCAAUGUGGGAGAUGAGUAAUAAGAAGUGAGGGAUGUUAAUGAUAAUUUCUAGAGAAAAAUUGAGGAAGAGAACAGGGAAAAACUAGAGGAGAUGUUUGCAUUAUUUCAUGAAAUGUCCAGAGGAGCCUUUAUUUGGCAAAACGAUGCUGAAGCUGAGGGAAUUAGCCGAGAGGAAAACUUAAUGGCAGAGAACUUAGAAAAGAAGAAACAAGGAAUAAUGAAAAGGACUUUAGGUGGAUCUUGCCUAGCAGGUUUUGUAAAACAGACAAUGGGGUGGCUGGGUGGCUAGAGUGAAGUGAGCAAUUGAACGGUAGCAGAAUUGAGAUCACAGAGGAAACGGAGCCAGAUUAUGUAGAACCCAAUUUCCAAUUCUCCUAAUUAAAAAUCCUUAUUGGCAACAAGGGACAAGAGAUUAUGCACAGACUGUUAUCACCUGCUGAGUCCUCAGAGGCUGAGGUGACACACAUGCUCCUCGCUUAUAUGCACUGGUGGAAGAAUAGAAAAAUAAAGCAAUUGAUUAAAAUCCUGCUUAUGCUAUUUAUAUCAUGUGAUAAUAGGAUAAUUAAUUAUAGGCUUCCAGGGUUUUUGUUAAAAGUAAUGAUAGGUGAUUGCAUGGAACAUCUUAGCUUUCAAUAUAGGAGUUGAUGACUCUCCUGACUUAUGUUGGGGAUUAUUAAGGAUCUAUAGACUAUUCAUCAAGAUUCAUUUAGUUGCAAAAAAACCCUCUUCAAACCUAACUCAUAAGAUACAAACCAUUCUAAAGAGAGGGCAUGGAGCUAAUCUUCACUGGGUAUGUCGUCCAUGUGAAGUGCAGGACAGUAAGGGUAGUAGAACUCACAUUCUCAGGAUUCUUUCUCCUCCAUGGUCUGCAGGCUUGCUUGUCUUCUCUCCUGGCUUUUUCUAUGAGAUAGGAGGCUCUGUCCUGGGUAGCUUGUGAACACCACCCCCCAGACCCGCAAAGGCUUUAAAAUACAGGCUCCUUGUGUCCUCACUUGUAAUUAGAAAAACCUAGGGCUGCCUUACCUGCUCGUUCUCCUGGCCAAUCCUUAGGAAAACCACAUCAUUCAAGGUGCGGUGAACGGUUCGCUUCUCCACAUCUUCCUCAACACUUUUGAUCUUUUGGAUUUUUGAUAAUGCCCAUCUUAACCGGUAAGAGGUGAUAUCUCAUUAUGAUUUUGAUUUUUAUUUCCCUAAUGAUUAGUGAUGAGUAUCUUUUCAUGUACCUGUUAACCAUUUAUACGUCUUUUCUGGAGAAAUGUCUAUCAUGUUCUUAGCCUAUUUUUAAUCAGGUCAUUAUUCUUGAGUCAUUGGAGUCCUUAUACUUUUAUAUUAAUCCCUUAUUAGAUUAUAACUUGUAAAUAUUUUUUCCCACUCUGUAAGUUGCCUUUUCUCUCUGUUCUUUGUAGAAUGCUUAUACUCUGAAAUACUCCUACUUGUCUAAUUUUACUUUUGGUGUUAUAUCGGAGAAAUCACUGCCAAGCUUUUGCAUAGCAUUGGUGGGACUAUAUAAUGGUAGAGCCACUGUGGAAACCAGAAUGGCAGUUCUUAAAAUAAAGCCAGAGUAACUAGCAGUUAUCCAGCUAUUCUGGUUCUGCAUAUACAUCCAAAGGAAUUGAAAUCACAUUUCCAGAGAUAGCUGUACUCCCAUGUUCAUUACCACAUCAAUCACAACAGACAAGAUAUGGCAACAAUUAAAUAUCCAUCAACAGAUGAAUAAAGAAAUGUAGUAUAGAUACAUAAUGGAAUAUUUUUCAGCCAUAAAGAAGAUAAGCCUGCCAUAUGCUACAACAUGGAUGAAUCUGGAGGACAUUAUGCUUAAGUGAAAAAUAAGCUGGUUACAAAAGGACUGAAUACUGUAUGACUCUAUGAAACAUCUAAAUAGUGACACUCAUAACAACAGAAAAUAGAAAGGUGGUUGCCAGGGAUUGAGGGGAGGGCAAAUAGAAGUAACUGUUCCGCAGGUAUAAAGUUUGUCAUGCAAGACUGAAUUCUAGAGAUCUGCUUUAAGACACUGGCUACAGUACUGCAUUGGGCACUUGCAAAUUUGAUAUGAGGAUAUUUCUCAUUAAGUCUCGUUAAGUCUUCUUACCACAAAAAAUUGGGAUGAAAGGGGGGGGGGAAGUUUUUGCCUAAGAUGGAUACGAGAGGAUGUUUCCAUCAGAGGGGAGAAUUCAUGAGUAUGGUAGUCUCCCUUACCCACAUUGGGGAUAUGUUCCACGACCCCAAGUGGAUGCCUGAAACCACAGAUAGUACUGAACCCUGUAUAUACAGUUUUUUUCCUAUACAUGCAUACUUAUGGUAAAGUUUAAUUUAUAAAUUAAGCACAAUCAGAAAUGAACAAU
ensembl:lncRNA